UUAAAGGGGAACAAAAAUUGGAUGAUUCUGAAGUUUGGGGGGCAUUGCCGAAAAGCUGGAGAGGAAGACGGGGCCUUUUCAGCUACUACUUCACUUGGCGUUUCUGCCCAGGGUGAAUUAUAAGGUCAUGUGGAAGGACUGAGGCCUAUGCAGGGCAAUGAGCUUGUACUCCAAUCACUGGAAUUCCUGCCUGGUGCCCCCUGCCCCAAAUAUGAGUAGAAAAUGGCAUGCACCAUUUUCAGUCUUAAGAGC